rnacentral:misc_RNA from 1 species
GGCUGGCCAUGUAGCUGUUAUACUUGAACAAAGAAUACACUAGCAUGACAUUUCAGUAGCUACUAUUUUCAACCUUGAAGCUGCUUGCAAUUAUAAGUGUUUGCUGUAUUGAUACCGAAUAAGGGUGCUGCGCUAGCACAAGGACCGAAGGAACGAGCAAUGCACCUAUUGAAAUGUUGAAGAGAGCAAAAUGAACCCCAUCUUCUCACCUGGUAAAACACCACCAAGAGCACCGGUGCCAUCUUAGUGACCGACUGUACAGACAACACUCAUUGUUGCACCUGUAGGAU